rnacentral:lncRNA from 1 species
AAAGCUUCGUUUCUUGAUCGGCUUCACGAGCUCUUAGGCAAAGGUGUUUCGAUGCAGCUUAUCAGUGCAGUAAAUGCAGACCCAGGUGUGCCUUUUUGUCCCAUUAAAAUUUUAUUGAAUUAUCUAAGUGAGUACUGUAAAUGAAGGGGAAGCGAGGAGACAGUCAUGGCGAAUGCAUAUGUAAAGACAGAUGAAUUUUGAAUCAAACACCAUAAACGCGUCAUUCUUGUACUGUUCAUCAAAUGGGAAAAAACUCAUGUGAAUCAUGUGAUUGAUGAUACUUAAAGUGGAAAUCUUUAUUAAUUCUCUGUUCUUGUUUUGCAGAAUAAGCAUAAUUUGAGUACCGUUAUCUUUUAUGCAUUUUUCAUUUUUCUUUCUUCCUUUUUGUUCCCUCUCAUUAUUUCUCUAAUCCUGGCAAGUAGAUGAAGUAACAGUACAGUCUUUAUAGUUGUUAAAGGCAAUUUUCACGUUGGUUCUUCAAGUCUUGUAGAUUCAAUGCAAUAGUAAAAAAUAUACUCAGGUUUAUGCCACUUUGGUUGAAGUUUUGUAUCUUUUAUGUGUUUAGCUAAUGAAUUGCGGGGAAGGCUUGGGAAGGUAGCAUAUUUGGAGAAAUGGAUUACGACCAUAACUCCAUUAACGGCCGUAGAGACCUUAUUUACCAUUACAUUUGACUGGGAUGAAGCCAUGGGUGUUCCUGGAGCUUUCAUCAUCAGAAAUCAUCACCAUAGCCAAUUUUACCUCAAGACAGUUACUUUAGAAGAUGUUCCAGGCCAUGGCCGGAUACAUUUUGUUUGCAAUUCCUGGGUCUACCCAACACAUCGUUACAAGUAUGAUCGUGUAUUCUUCUCAAACAAGGUAAAAUAACUAUCCUUCACUAACAUGAAAGAUUUCAAGAGAAAGUUUCCCUCUUUAUCUAUCUUGAUCGUAUUCUUUUGGUAGUCCACUGCUUUGAUUAUCCAGAGGCAAGAAUUAUUCUUUUUGUUUAAAUCUAAAGAGAUUUCUUAAACGAAGGCUUAGACCCCAUUUAUUACUUUAUGACUCAGUAUCAGCAUCAUUCUGACCCACAUAGAUAGAGGUUUCUAUCAUGAUUGUUACCUUUUAAUAAUUAUUAGAAGCUUUUCAUAUUACUUCCUUUUUCAUGAUAAAAUCAUACUGUCUAAUUUUUCCAGCCAGAUUAGACAGUCCUUUUUCUUACUUGAUUGAUUUUGGAUAUGAAUUUUCAAAUCAGAACUUUUUACUGUAAGGCUGAGUAACAAAAGUGGUCUCCAAUUUCAAUUUCAAGUCAUAGAUAGAAAUGAGCUUCAAGUGUCUUAAGGUGUUUUAUUUGUUCACAGCAUGAUGCAAACUUUAAUCUAAUGGAUCAGAAUAAUUAUCUUUCUUUUACUGUCGAAAUAGAACUACAAUGUACUAAUAUAAAACUACAUGAUUUAUGUUAGACUUACCUCCCCUGCCAAACACCAGAGCCCUUGCGGAAAUAUAGAAGAGAAGAACUUGUAAAUCUCCGCGGAAAUGGAAAGGGUGAGCUCAAAGAGUGGGAUAGAGUAUAUGACUAUGCUUUCUACAACGAUCUGGGAAAUCCAGACAAAGGUCCAGAAUAUGCCCGCCCUGUUCUUGGUGGAUCACAGGAGUAUCCGUAUCCGCGAAGAGGAAGAACUGGCCGGAAACCAACAAAAACAGGUAGAGAACUGAAUUCAGAGAGUGUUCAGUUACUUAUUUGAAUGGAACAAAAAAUAUUGAAUACAAACAAUGGCAAGUUUCAAUCAGUAUAUCAGAGCGGUUCAUUUUGUUUCACUUACAAUCAGUAAAUUUCAGCUUUCUCAUUGAAACAGAUCCCAAUUCUGAGAGAAGACUGCCACUUAUAAGCCUAGACAUUUAUGUUCCCAGAGAUGAACGGUUUGGCCACUUGAAGUUUUCAGAUUUUCUUGCCUAUGCCCUGAAAUCGCUGGUUCAGAUAUUGCUCCCAGAAAUCACUUCUUUAUGUGACAAAACUAUAAAUGAAUUUGACUCUUUCGACGAUGUACUUAAUCUCUAUGAAGGAGGUAUCAAACUACCAAAUAGUCAAACUGUCAGUAAGAUAAGGGAUCGCAUCCCGUGGGAGAUGCUCAAGGAACUUGUUCGUAAUGAUGGUGAACGAUUCUUAAAAUUCCCAAUGCCUGAUGUGAUCAAAGGUAUGAUCUAUUCUUGUUUUUGUACUAUUUUCCUAAUAGCUUAAACUUGUCAUUUAGUAAACUUUACUACAUAUUCAUGAGGCCUUAAUGAUUCAUUGCAGAGGAUAGGUCUGCUUGGAGGACAGAUGAAGAAUUUGCAAGAGAAAUGCUAGCUGGAGUCAAUCCAGUUAUCAUCAGUCACCUCCAAGUAAUUUAACUCCCACCAGAUUGACUGACAAUACAUUGCAUGGUUUGUCAUUGCAAUGAUAUAAUGAAAUCUUAAUGCAGGAAUUCCCCCCAGCCAGCAACCUAGACCCUAAAGUAUAUGGAAAUCAGCACAGUUCAAUUACAAGAGCAGACAUAGAAAGGAACAUGAAUGAACUGACCAUAGACGAAGUACUAUUUCAUGCUUAAUAUACUUCAUUUCUAUUUCUGCAAUACCAAAAAAAAAGAAAAAAUCACAUCCAAAAUUCACGAAGAUUUUUCUCUGCAUUAUUACUUUGUUUUAUUUUCUUAUGCCAUGUUUUAUUUUGCACAGGCAAUAGAAAACAAAAAGCUGUUUAUAUUAGACCAUCACGAUGCUUUAAUGCCAUACCUGAGGCGGAUAAACUCCACUAACACAAAGACUUAUGCCAGCCGAACACUCCUCUUAUUGCAAAACGAUGGUACAUUAAAGCCGUUGGCGAUUGAGUUGAGCUUGCCUCACCCACAAGGAGACCAUCAUGGUGCUGUCAGC